AGACCAGAUUUCCCCUGGAGUCUUCAUAAUAAGCCAUAAACAAGUCUGAUUUUUGGACAUUCACCAUUGAACAGUCAAAUGCAUAAGAUCAAAUCUUGCUACUCCGUCUCAGAUUGCUCGAGGUGUGCGGAAGGAUAAGGCGGGGAGGAUGAGGAUUCUGAGGCUGAAGCGGCUGGACUCCUCGCACGAGUAUGAGGACGGCGCGGAGGACCAGAAGAGGGAGCGGACGACGGCGACGGCCGAGAGACAGGACAAAACGAUCAAGUCGGAGCGCGGCCGCCAGGAAAAGGGCCCCGAUCAACCGCAGGUCUUCCAGACCGUCACCGCCAUGCCGGCCCUCAUCCUCGAGGACGACGCUGCCCCCAUCGAUAUGAAAAGAAAGCUCUCCACCUGGGGCCGAAAGAUGGGCAAGAAAUUGGACCUCCUCCGGCGCUCGGAGUCGCGCGACUCCCUGGACUCUGACAGCAUCGGCUCGCGCGACAGCCUCCGGAAGCGCACCCCCCUCCGCGGCGGGAAAUCCUCGGAAAACAUCAACACCCCAACCUCCACCGACUCCAACACCCGCUCCUCCAUCAAAGGCUUCUUCAACCGCCUCGGCUACAACAACCAAACCCGGCUCCAGACCGGCAGCUUCCGGGCCUCCGAGAAACCCCCCGAGCCGGAGCUCUACCGCUCCGUCUCCACGUCGCACCUCGUGACGUCAUACGUCCGCGGCGACGACCCCGCCGACUGCCUCGACAAGCCCGCCCCCAGCGACAAAGACGCCAACUACCCCAUGAAGACCAUGUCGUGCGAUAAUAUCUCCAGGUUGGGCCAGGGGGCGACACCGUCGCCCAAGAAGGCCAACUUCCCGUACGCAUUUUUGAGGUCGAAGCUGUCCGUCCUCCCGGAGGAGAACGUUAAGUCGGGGCUCUCGUGUUCCAAGUUCGCGCAGAGCGACUCGUUCAGUGCUUACGAGACGCUGCGCGCGAGGUCCAAUUCCGAGGAGCACUUCCCGAAUCUGAAGAUCGAGCCGACGAUAGAGUGCAGCACGCUCGGGCGGCGGAAGAAACCAAGUCUGGAGAUCAACAGGGGUAGCUGUUUGACGAUGAAGGCGGACAAGCUGCACCUGAGCAACUACGUGAGCUCGAACGAGUCAGGCUACGACAGCGACAGCACGAGGAACGCAGAGGACAGUUUCAUGCUCAAGCUGGAUCUUAGCGAGAAGUCGGACCUCAACGAAAGUUUCGACUCGAGCAGUGUCAAGUCCGAGCGGCUCGACGACACCGAGCAACCCUUUAGUCUGGCCCUACAGCCCAGCUCGCCCUGGGCCUACAAUAGCCUGAGCCGGCAGUUCAAAUCGCGGCAAUCUAGUCAAGGCUCGGAAUCCCCGCCUUUCAAGUUCAAGGGCGACAAACGGGACAUCCCCCGCACCCCCAAGUUCACCCGGCAGAUGUUCGUCAAGAACACCAAGCCGCGGAGGAUGUUCUCGACGGUGUUACCCAUCGAGCAGGAGAUGACGUCACUCCCGCCCAUGACGUCACUGCCACCCAAUCUCAACGCGGAGCCGAGCAGGAGGUUCCGGCUCAUCCGGCUCCUCAAAGUCAGGGCAGACGAGGACCUGGGCAUCUACCUCACCAUGAAGGCGCUCGACUUUCAGAGCUCCGAGGUCCGGUACAUCGUCGUUAAGCUCGAGGCCGGAAAGAUCGCGGAAAGGUAAGUUCGAGUUUCGGGUUUUUCGCAACAUUUAAAGUACUUUUGGUUUUUUUUUAGAGAGGGGGGGCGGGAUUGCACCUGCGUCCGUGUGGGGUCAUUUCGUAGCAUGGUAGCCGGGCAUGUGGAGUCAUUUGUCCAAGUGGGGUCUUUUUCCGGACCCCAGAUGGAAAUAGUUGUUUUUCAUCGUCUCUCCACCGUUCACGUGGGGUCAUCUUCGUCUUUCCACCAUAGACGUGGGGCCCAAACUGAAUUGCAUCAGGUUAGGUUAGGUUAGGUUAGGUUAGGUUAGGUUAGGUUAGGUCAGGUUAGGAUAGUUUAAGUUAGGUUAGGAUAGGUUAGGUUAGGUAAAAGUAAGUUUUACAUUCUUAUGACCCCACACGGACGGGGAGACUGGGCAUUGAGGGAGAGGGGGAGAGGGGGAGAGAGGGGGGGAGAGAGGGGGAGAGAGGGGGGAGAGAGAGGCCAUAGACGGAAUAGAGAAUUUGCAGAAGUCUGAAAUUUUGUGAGGAAAACUGAGCGCGAGGGUAUUCUUGGUUUCUAAGUUACACGAUUAUUAGAGAAAAUACGACAAAAUAACCGAAUCUGCUAUAAUACACAUGUGUUUAAAUGGAAAAUGCCGCCAGAUGACGUCAUGAGAUGGCACACGUUCUCACUUUUAAACCAAUUUUUCUCCAAUUUUCCAUGUUAGAAAAAAAUUGUGAAAAGUGCUGCGAACUCAGCUCAUAAGGCACUCUCAGAUGAAGCGAUAGAAUUUUUGUGUGCAAAUUCCCCAUUAAAAAUGUCUUGAAGAGGCGCACAGUGGAUCGAAUCAACGAAAGAGCAAAAUUUUGGUGAUUUAGCUUCUGAAACGACUUAGAUCCAUACGUUUACAAAGUUUCUCAUUUGCAGAGAGAAGAAAUGAGGGGGCUGGAGGACUAGGUGCAUAAGAGCAGUUUUCGCAAGUUCAAGAAGUACGUGUUUAAAGUUUCAAAAUUAUAUGGAGCCUUAUUGCACAAAGAAAGUUUAGCCUGACUUUUUGAUGCUUAAAAGUCGGUUUUUUGUUGUGAAUUUUUCACAGAAUAUACUUUCAAACUAGUUUCAGUUGAAUUCAUGAAUAUCUCAAUUUUUUCAUAAACUGCAUUUAUGCGCCCUGUCCUCCAAACCCCACAAUUGUGAUACAAAAUAAUCCUAACGGUCAGGGCCGGAUUAAGGGGGUGGCCACAUGGGCCGCGGCCCAUGGCGGCAAAUCUAUAGGGGGCGGACAAUUUUGCAAUUUUUUUAAAUGUAGGUAUUAAAAAAAAUUACAAACAAGAAAAGGCGACAAAAUCUCUAAUUUUCUGAGAGUAUAGUAAUUUCUACUUUUGUCGUCUUUCAAUGAUACAAGAGGCAGCAUCUUUAAUUAGUCGAGUUAAGAGAGAAACCAAACACGCAAUUUGGCCUGGAACGCGACUUACCUAGAGAGAAAUGAUGCCGAGAACUUGAGAUGAAAAGGAAAAGCCCUCGGCGCGGAAAUCGGCAUGUCACACAUAUUAGCGCCCACAAGACUGCACGAAUACUUCACGCAUUGCAGCUAACACAGUGCGGUCAUUGCGGACAGCGUGAAACGGAUAGCGCCUACAAGAAUGCAUGAAUACCUCACGCAUUGCGGCAAACAAACUGCGAUCAGCGUGAGACGCAUAACGCCUACAAGACUGCGUGAAUACUUCACGCAUUGCGUUAAACACAGUGCGGUCUGCGAGGCGCGGCGACGGAAGUUAAAAUCAUUAAUCCACAUUUAUGUUUGUUCUUUCAUAAUUGUUUCGUUCAUUUCUUAUGAAUUGAAGGCCUUGUCCACACAGAGAUAGGUUUACGAAACUUAACUUUCGCGCAAAGUUCCGUGAACUUUUGCCAGUAGUGUUGACAGGGCUUUCCCAAAAAAUGUGUUCAACACCAGUAAACGCGUCUUGUGCACCCGUCCCCGCUGGCACGUUCAUUUGAUGGUUUUCAUUGAUGUUUCAAAACGAAUGAGAAGGGGGCGGUAAAAUACUAGCUGCCCAUGGGCGGCAAGUAGGUAAAUCCGACCCUGCUAACGGUACAUCUAAUGUAUCACUGAUCCUACCAACAUCCAGGCAUUGAUGUAUGCUUCUAUAUUGUGGAAAAAACAGCCCCGAAAGGAGUUGUGUCUAGUUCAGCAUUAAAUUUAAGAAGACAUGGUUCCUAUUUUCGGAGUGCAUACCAUCAUUUUAUCACACUGCUAACCAAAGAAGGCACCAUCAGAGAAAGUUGCCUUUUAAGCAAAUAUCAAACAUUUUCAAUGAAGGUUUUCAUUGAAACAGUAGCUAGCUAAAAGCGCAUAGGAAUUUUGCGGGCAGUUUUUCCUGGUUCUUACGGAUUAUCAAAGCCAAAAAAGGGCCCGAAAUUCUCGGCCUGGUAUCGCGUGCCUGUAAGUCCAAAUCAAAAGCCGGUAAUUAUUACUGGUGAUGACAUUUUGCACGGAGCACCCUUUAUUAUCGGCUUUUUUCAUCGGUCCUUUUUCUUGGCCGAAUCUUUUAUUUCGAACUCGAACUCCGAAAACUUGAAACGUCCGGCUUUCGAGCCAAAAAGGUCUGCAUAUUUCGAAAACAGGGACCGCAUUUUUUGGAGAGGCAGGUCGGGUUGUGCUCUCUGAAAGCCGUUCUCGAAAUUCCACGCUGACUUUGUCAGUGAUGCUUUCACCCCGGAAAUUUCAAUUUUAAUGACAGCUGCAGUAAUUUCAUUUGUAUUGACCUCCGAUCGAGAAUAAAUGAAUAAAUUUUCCCUAAACGGUAUAAUUUUUUCUGUGACGUAGGUAUUUUCUGCUUACUACUUCAAGACGAAAUCGCAGAAAGGAAUCUUGUGACGAUUGAUUGUUUUUCCAUUUUCUAAGUAAUGACAUUCAAUUCGCAAAAAAAGGUAAAAGCUCAUUGACAAGUCAUAAAAUAAACACACACUUAAAUGAAUUUUUAGUUCAAAUUAUUUUAAAUUUUGAAAAUUAUUAGUCCAGCUUGAGUUAAAAUUUUGAUAAAACUCUAACCAAUUUAUAUCGAGAAACUAAAAACUGAAUCCUCUGAAAUCCAUGAGACUCAAUCUGUACUAUUUUAGUUCCUAAUUAAGUAACGACUUAAUCUGGGGAAAAGAUACAGAACAGCAUAAAAAAUAAGAAAAUAUAGAAAAAACCAGUACGUUUUGAAAUAUAAUAAUCUCAUUUCCUAUCGGAAGAAACAAGGAAAAUUUUACGAGUUUUUUUGUUUCUUCCAGAAUAGCUUCGGAACCUUCAGAUAGUUUUCCUUGUUUAUUCUUGUUUUAUUAGGAAUUAAAAUUAUAUCAUUUUAAUUCCUAAAUAACAAAGAAAAUAUCCUCAUAAAAACAUUAGUAGCCGUCAGCGAAACGCAUGAUUAUGAGCGCAAUAAAAAAUUUAAAAUUCAGAGGUCUAAAAUUCCUUCUUGUGAUCGUUUUCAAUUGAAAAUCCCAUGAAUUGUGAAAAUCUCACAUGUCUCAUCAAUUAAAUUUGACCGGAAAAUGAAGAGGGAAAUUGCCCUCGUCAAAAGGGUUCAUAGAGCAGACCGUCUGACUCUCAAAAUACUCGGUUCCUUUCGGGAAUCGCAGUCCACGUAAUCCUGGGUUCAAGAGCCUGGAUGCGCGCUCGAUCUUAUACAAAAAAGGUUCGACAC
rnacentral:lncRNA from 1 species